UACGUAGGGGGCAAGCGUUAUCCGGAUUUACUGGGUGUAAAGGGAGCGUAGACGGCGAAGAAAGUCUGAAGUGAAAGCCCGCGGCUCAACCGCGGAAUGGCUUUGGAAACUUUUUUGCUGGAGUACCGGAGAGGUAAGCGGAAUACCUAGUGUAGCGGUGAAAUGCGUAGAUAUUAGGAGGAACACCAGUGGCGAAGGCGGCUUACUGGACGGUAACUGACGUUGAGGCUCGAAAGCGUGGGGAGCAAACAGG
rnacentral:rRNA from 1 species